rnacentral:misc_RNA from 1 species
UACGAAGGGGGCUAGCGUUGUUCGGAAUCACUGGGCGUAAAGCGUACGUAGGCGGUUUGCAAAGUCAGAUGUGAAAUCCUGGGGCUUAACCCUAGAAUGGCAUUUGAAACUGGCAAGCUAGAGACCGGUAGGGGAUAGUGGAAUUCCUAGUGUAGAGGUGAAAUUCGUAGAUAUUAGGAGGAACACCAGUGGCGAAAGCGACUAUCUGGACCGGUACUGGCGCUAAGGUACGAAAGCGUGGGUAGCAAACAGG